rnacentral:rRNA from 1 species
UACGUAGGGGGCUAGCGUUGUCCGGAAUCAUUGGGCGUAAAGCGCGCGUAGGCGGUCAGUCAAGUCCGCUGUGAAAGUCGGGGGCUCAACCCUCGAAAGCCGGUGGAAACUGUCGGGCUAGAGUGCGGAAGAGGCGAGUGGAAUUCCUGGUGUAGCGGUGAAAUGCGCAGAUAUCAGGAGGAACACCAAUUGCGAAGGCAGCUCGCUGGGACGUUACUGACGCUGAGACGCGAAAGCGUGGGGAGCAAACAGG